GCGUUUAAUCAGUAUGUUAAAUUACGCUCUACUAUCUUCUAAGCCGUAGGUCACAGGUUCGAAUCCUGUAGGGCGCGCCA
rnacentral:tRNA from 1 species